rnacentral:tRNA from 1 species
GCGGAUAUGGUGGAAUUGGUAGACAUGCUAGAUUUAGGAUCUAGUGCCGCAAGGCGUGUGGGUUCGACUCCCUCUAUCCGCAC